GAUCAAGUCAAAUUCGCGCGCCGAACCUUCGUCCCCGGACACGGUCAGCCGCCCGGUAGCUCUCACGGAGUACCUCGCGUCCUCGCCGACGACGCCGUGGCAGCACGCAAAGCCAAGGCCAUCACACGCCCAUGUGCGGCGCACUGUACCCCGGCGUUGACUGCGGGCACGUUUCCAAGCUCCCCGGCCCGGUCCGGUCAUACCGCGGGCUCCAUCGCGCAUCCGCAUCUUCGCAUCUCCUUCCCUUUCCUUCCCAUCCCCUCCCCAUCCCCACACCGCAGGGGCCACCGCUGCCAACCUACGACCCAGACCCGCCACCCAUCCCACAACGUCGGAGGAGACAAAUCACCAGACAAGACUCUCGCCGAUUCCUAAACCGGCGCCAGGAUUUCAUUCCGAUCCCUCCUCGCCCAUUUCCGUCCCCGCCCGGCCGAUCCACCCCGGCCCACCGCUGCCCGCGCCCCCGCCCGCCGGAUCACGCGCUUCUUGCGACGGUGCAGAUCCAAGAAACGCACUCCUCCCUCCCUCCCUCCGGACAAGGCCGUGUCCGACGACGCGCCCGAGAAAAUCGGUCAGGCGGACAGGCACUCGGGCGCCAGGCGCGAGGCGAGGGCCGAGCUUGAUGCUCCCAGCUUGCUGAGGAUCAAUGCUAUCCAAGCCACCCUCUGAUCCGGCCGGCAAGCUCUCGAUCGAAACGAUGGAGGACGAACAAUCAGCCACAUAUACUGUGGAUGACGCCCUUAUAUCUUCAGGUUUUGGGAAGUACCAAAUAUUGAUUCUCUCCUAUGCUGGGAUAGGCUUAAUCGCAGAAGCAAUGGAGAUGAUGCUGCUAUCAUUUGUUGGCCCAUCCGUUCAGUUAGAAUGGAAUCUUACUGCUCACCAGGAAAGCAUGAUUACAAGUGUUGUUUUUGUUGGAAUGCUAAUAGGAGCUUAUUCUUGGGGUGUGGUCUCAGAUAACUAUGGAAGGAGGCAGGAAAGGGUUUCUCUUUACUGCCAUUAUGACGAGUGGAGCUGGAUUCCUGAGUGCCUUUUCUCCAAACUAUGUAGCUUUAAUGGCUCUACGGUUUUUAGUUGGUAUUGGCUUGGGAGGAGGACCUGUUCUUGGAUCUUGGUUCUUGGAAUUUGUUCCUGCUCCAAGUAGAGGAACUUGGAUGGUGGUACUCUCAGCAUUUUGGACUGUCGGUACCAUCUUUGAGGCUUCGCUUGCAUGGGUAGUUAUGCCCAAGUUUGGCUGGAGGUGGUUGCUAGCAUUAUCAUCUGUUCCGUCUCUCCUCCUGCUUUUGUUUUAUGCUAUCACACCAGAGUCGCCAAGGUUCCUCUGCAUGAAAGGCAGAACAAUGGAGGCUGUGGAUGUGCUGGAGAAAAUGGCAAGGUUAAACGGUGCACAACUCCCUUCGGGUAAGCUUGUUUCCGACAAGAACAUUGAGCUAGAUGAAGUUUCCGAGUCGGCAACGCUUCUGGCUGCUACUGCUAAAGCUGCUAAAGAAGAAGAAAACGACAACAUCAAGGAAGACGAAGGUUCUGAUUUUGGAGGUUUCAAGUCUGUUUCUAAGCUGCUGUCACCAAAAUUGCUCAGAGCAACUCUGCUUCUGUGGAUGGCUUUCUUCGGGAAUGCAUUUUCUUAUUAUGGUAUUGUUCUGUUGACAUCGGAGUUAAGUAACGGAAAUAGGAUAUGUGCAAAACAGGAGGUUGAAUCUGUACACUCGAACAACUCAAGCCUGUACAAAAACGUGUUUAUUUCUAGCUUUGCAGAGAUUCCAGGGUCAUUCGUGUCGAUCAUGAUCGUGGAUAGAAUUGGGCGAAGGCUUUCAAUGGCUUCGAUGCUCUUCACUAGCUGUGUCUUUUUAUUCCCGCUAGUUUUUUCCCGCACAGAAAUACUGACAAGAAUCUCAUUAUUCGGUGCCCGGCUCUGCAUUUCUGCAAGCUUCACAAUCGUAUACAUAUAUGCUCCCGAGAUCUACCCAACCUCUGUGAGGACAACAGGCAUUGGCGUCGCCAGCUCGGUGGGCAGGAUCGGCGGCAUUCUGUGCCCCCUCGUCGCCGUUGCUCUGGUGCACAACUGCCAUCAGACGACCGCGAUCCUCCUCUUCGAGCUCGUGGUGUUCCUCUCAGGGGUGGCCGUCAUGUUCUUCCCUUUCGAGACGAAAGGCUGUAGGCUCAACGACACCGAGGCCGAUAUGCAUUGAUGCGGCGGGUUAUAUCAUAGCACCAAUUUUUUGUGUCCUGAGAGCAGUGGCGGCAUAUUAUCGAACAUUUUUUUUCCAACAUGAUACCGAUACCGAUAUUGAUUAUAGUGAUCUUAGAUACCGGGGAAUCCUUUCCCCUAGGAGUGAUCCCCAUCCACUUGUCGGCGGCGGCGGUGCAGAGGGGAUUGCAGAGUAUAAGAAUAGUUGGGUCAGACUGUGCUCGGUUCUGUUUUGUAACCUAUACUUUGGACUUUUGAAUGAUGAUCGUUGGAAUAAGGAAAUAUGCCAGUUGGGCAGAAUCUGGCUUUUAACCAGCUUGAUGGUAAGAAAUCGCGGGACCUAGGAAAUCAUUUCGUUUCGUACAACUGAACCUUUUCA
rnacentral:rRNA from 1 species